rnacentral:lncRNA from 1 species
UUGCCACGAUUGCGACCUCGGCCUUCUGGAAUUCUAUCAUAAAUAUACAGGCAAUGCUAGACUUUUUUUCGAUGUCUGUGUACGCCACAAACUCAUCCUAGAUGAAAAGAAGUGCGAGGUGUGUGACAAGCCUGCAACAUUGGAUUUCUCACUAAAGUUAUGGCGUUGUCAGAAAAUGCGCUCGGCCAAAAAAGAAAAGAGUUAAGUGCACGUGGAGCCAAGGAGUGUUUAAGAACACAUUCUUUGAAAAUGCACAUUUAGAUCUGGAAACUGUUCUCAUAUUUGUUAACUGUUAUAUACGAGAAUGCUUCUCCUAUGUGUUCACAGAGAGUGAACUUGGGCUUGCUAACACCACCAUUUGUGACUGGGCCAGUUUUUGCAGGGAAGUAUUAAUUGGGUGGUGCAUCAAGCGAGAAGGGAAGAUUGGUGGUGAUGGAAAAAUUGUGGAGAUUGAUGAAAGUAAGUUUGGGAAGAGGAAAUAUAAUGUUGGACGAAUCAUCGAUGGACAGUGGGUGUUCGGUGGUGUGUGUCGUGAAACCCGAAGCUGCUUCAUGGUACCGGUGGAGAAGCGAGACAGCCAAACUCUUCUUGCUAUUAUAAAGGACAAGAUUGAGCCGGGAACCAUAAUAAUUCCAGAUUGUUGGAAAGCGUAUGAUUGUCUGCAGGAUGAAGGCUUUAAACACCUUACAGUGAAUCAUUCAGUGAACUUUGUAGACCCCUGCAACAAGGCGACACACACCAACACCAUCGAGAGGGCGUGGCGUUAGGUAAAAAGUAAAGUGCCGCUGUAUGGAAGAAAGAAAAAACACUUUGUGGGCUACCUUGCGAGGUCCAUGUUCAUCAUGGCGCACAAGGAACCAAAUAAAAGAUUUCACGUUUUCCUACAAUAAAUUGCAGCACUUUACAAUCCAUAUACGCCUACCAGCCACACAUCCUAAUUUCCUCCAACCAAACUUACUGUACGCCAUAUCUCGCCUCCAUGAAGUUGGAUCCCACCUUAAAACUCGCAAACCGACGCCCGUUAUGAGCUUUCCUGGCCCACGCGGCGGCGGUGAGACAAGCCUCCCUCCAGAGCUGUGAAAUGGCGAAGAAAAGGCGUGAGUGAUUGGAAUCCCCGAGUCCACGACAGUAAGGCUUGGGCGGGAUUUGCCCUCAACCUUUAAAAAUGGUUCGUUUCCUUUCUUCUUCACUGUCUUUGUCUUUUGAAGGUCAUAUAAAUACUUAAGUGUGUAUCACAUGGAGGUGCCUGAAAAGUCGUAGGUUACCAGAAAAAUAAUUGACGGGAGUGAAAGGAUUAAGGUAGUAACGCAAUGGUGUGUAUUUAAGGGUAUCAGAUAUGGAUGGCUCUGAAGCAUGAUUCAGUACUUGUAUUCUUGCAUCUGAAGUUAACCUUUUCAUUGGUACAUUUAAAAAUUUACAACACUAGAUUCACUGAGCAGUCUUUUUAAGCUCGAAGAGAAAGAAAAAGGAUUAAAUCAACAAGUUUUCAAAUUAUCUUAGAAUUGAGGAAAUAUGUUUAAACGCCAGUAAAAGAAUUAAAUGGAGUGAUUACAAUUUCUACGUUACGCUUUAAAUAGGAAUAAGACAAAACAAAACAAAGCAAUGUUCGCCUUUUGUUUGCAUACUGCGUAGUGUUUCCCGGUGAAAUUACAUGUGCACCUCAAACAGACAACCAUGCACUAAAUCAAUAGAUGAAAGUCAAAACAAAAAAAUAA